rnacentral:rRNA from 1 species
AUUGAACGCUGGCGGCAUGCUUUACACAUGCAAGUCGAACGGCAGCACGGGUGCUUGCACCUGGUGGCGAGUGGCGAACGGGUGAGUAAUGCAUCGGAACGUAUCCAAUAAUGGGGGAUAACGCAUCGAAAGGUGUGCUAAUACCGCAUACGCCCUGAGGGGGAAAGUGGGGGAUCGUAAGACCUCACGUUGAUGGAGCGGCCGAUGUCAGAUUAGCUAGUUGGUGAGGUAAAGGCUCACCAAGGCGACGAUCUGUAGCUGGUCUGAGAGGACGACCAGCCACACUGGAACUGAGACACGGUCCAGACUCCUACGGGAGGCAGCAGUGGGGAAUUUUGGACAAUGGGCGCAAGCCUGAUCCAGCCAUGCCGCGUGAGUGAAGAAGGCCUUCGGGUUGUAAAGCUCUUUCGCAAGGGAAGAAACGAUUCAGGAUAAUACCCUGGGUUAAUGACGGUACCUUGAUAAGAAGCACCGGCUAACUACGUGCCAGCAGCCGCCGUAA